rnacentral:rRNA from 1 species
UUAAGCGACUAAGCGUACACGGUGGAUGCCCUGGCAGUCAGAGGCGAUGAAGGACGUGCUAAUCUGCGAUAAGCGUCGGUAAGGUGAUAUGAACCGUUAUAACCGGCGAUUUCCGAAUGGGGAAACCCAGUGUGUUUCGACACACUAUCAUUAACUGAAUCCAUAGGUUAAUGAGGCGAACCGGGGGAACUGAAACAUCUAAGUACCCCGAGGAAAAGAAAUCAACCGAGAUUCCCCCAGUAGCGGCGAGCGAACGGGGAGCAGCCCAGAGCCUGAAUCAGUGUGUGUGUUAGUGGAAGCGUCUGGAAAGGCGCGCGAUACAGGGUGACAGCCCCGUACACAAAAAUGCACAUGCUGUGAGCUCGAUGAGUAGGGCGGGACACGUGGUAUCCUGUCUGAAUAUGGGGGGACCAUCCUCCAAGGCUAAAUACUCCUGACUGACCGAUAGUGAACCAGUACCGUGAGGGAAAGGCGAAAAGAACCCCGGCGAGGGGAGUGAAAAAGAACCUGAAACCGUGUACGUACAAGCAGUGGGAGCACGCUUAGGCGUGUGACUGCGUACCUUUUGUAUAAUGGGUCAGCGACUUAUAUUCUGUAGCAAGGUUAACCGAAUAGGGGAGCCGAAGGGAAACCGAGUCUUAACUGGGCGUUAAGUUGCAGGGUAUAGACCCGAAACCCGGUGAUCUAGCCAUGGGCAGGUUGAAGGUUGGGUAACACUAACUGGAGGACCGAACCGACUAAUGUUGAAAAAUUAGCGGAUGACUUGUGGCUGGGGGUGAAAGGCCAAUCAAACCGGGAGAUAGCUGGUUCUCCCCGAAAGCUAUUUAGGUAGCGCCUCGUGAAUUCAUCUCCGGGGGUAGAGCACUGUUUCGGCAAGGGGGUCAUCCCGACUUACCAACCCGAUGCAAACUGCGAAUACCGGAGAAUGUUAUCACGGGAGACACACGGCGGGUGCUAACGUCCGUCGUGAAGAGGGAAACAACCCAGACCGCCAGCUAAGGUCCCAAAGUCAUGGUUAAGUGGGAAACGAUGUGGGAAGGCCCAGACAGCCAGGAUGUUGGCUUAGAAGCAGCCAUCAUUUAAAGAAAGCGUAAUAGCUCACUGGUCGAGUCGGCCUGCGCGGAAGAUGUAACGGGGCUAAACCAUGCACCGAAGCUGCGGCAGCGACGCUUAUGCGUUGUUGGGUAGGGGAGCGUUCUGUAAGCCUGUGAAGGUGUGCUGUGAGGCAUGCUGGAGGUAUCAGAAGUGCGAAUGCUGACAUAAGUAACGAUAAAGCGGGUGAAAAGCCCGCUCGCCGGAAGACCAAGGGUUCCUGUCCAACGUUAAUCGGGGCAGGGUGAGUCGACCCCUAAGGCGAGGCCGAAAGGCGUAGUCGAUGGGAAACAGGUUAAUAUUCCUGUACUUGGUGUUACUGCGAAGGGGGGACGGAGAAGGCUAUGUUGGCCGGGCGACGGUUGUCCCGGUUUAAGCGUGUAGGCUGGUUUUCCAGGCAAAUCCGGAAAAUCAAGGCUGAGGCGUGAUGACGAGGCACUACGGUGCUGAAGCAACAAAUGCCCUGCUUCCAGGAAAAGCCUCUAAGCAUCAGGUAACAUCAAAUCGUACCCCAAACCGACACAGGUGGUCAGGUAGAGAAUACCAAGGCGCUUGAGAGAACUCGGGUGAAGGAACUAGGCAAAAUGGUGCCGUAACUUCGGGAGAAGGCACGCUGAUAUGUAGGUGAAGUCCCUCGCGGAUGGAGCUGAAAUCAGUCGAAGAUACCAGCUGGCUGCAACUGUUUAUUAAAAACACAGCACUGUGCAAACACGAAAGUGGACGUAUACGGUGUGACGCCUGCCCGGUGCCGGAAGGUUAAUUGAUGGGGUCAGCGCAAGCGAAGCUCUUGAUCGAAGCCCCGGUAAACGGCGGCCGUAACUAUAACGGUCCUAAGGUAGCGAAAUUCCUUGUCGGGUAAGUUCCGACCUGCACGAAUGGCGUAAUGAUGGCCAGGCUGUCUCCACCCGAGACUCAGUGAAAUUGAACUCGCUGUGAAGAUGCAGUGUACCCGCGGCAAGACGGAAAGACCCCGUGAACCUUUACUAUAGCUUGACACUGAACAUUGAGCCUUGAUGUGUAGGAUAGGUGGGAGGCUUGGAAGUGUGGACGCCAGUCUGCAUGGAGCCGACCUUGAAAUACCACCCUUUAAUGUUUGAUGUUCUAACGUUGACCCGUAAUCCGGGUUGCGGACAGUGUCUGGUGGGUAGUUUGACUGGGGCGGUCUCCUCCUAAAGAGUAACGGAGGAGCACGAAGGUUGGCUAAUCCUGGUCGGACAUCAGGAGGUUAGUGCAAUGGCAUAAGCCAGCUUGACUGCGAGCGUGACGGCGCGAGCAGGUGCGAAAGCAGGUCAUAGUGAUCCGGUGGUUCUGAAUGGAAGGGCCAUCGCUCAACGGAUAAAAGGUACUCCGGGGAUAACAGGCUGAUACCGCCCAAGAGUUCAUAUCGACGGCGGUGUUUGGCACCUCGAUGUCGGCUCAUCACAUCCUGGGGCUGAAGUAGGUCCCAAGGGUAUGGCUGUUCGCCAUUUAAAGUGGUACGCGAGCUGGGUUUAGAACGUCGUGAGACAGUUCGGUCCCUAUCUGCCGUGGGCGCUGGAGAACUGAGGGGGGCUGCUCCUAGUACGAGAGGACCGGAGUGGACGCAUCACUGGUGUUCGGGUUGUCAUGCCAAUGGCACUGCCCGGUAGCUAAAUGCGGAAGAGAUAAGUGCUGAAAGCAUCUAAGCACGAAACUUGCCCCGAGAUGAGUUCUCCCUGACCCUUUAAGGGUCCUGAAGGAACGUUGAAGACGACGACGUUGAUAGGCCGGGUGUGUAAGCGCAGCGAUGCGUUGAGCUAACCGGUACUAAUGAACCGUGAGGCUUAACCUU